rnacentral:rRNA from 1 species
AAGUCGGGGCCUAAGGCCAGGUCGAAAGACGUAACCGAUGGACAACAGGUUGAAAUUCCUGUACCUUAAGUAAACAGAACUGUGGGGACACGUGUGGAGAGCACAAGUCGGAAAUGGAAAAGCCGGUGCAAGCGAGGUAGGAGUACAGUAGGCAAAUCCGCUGUACAAUCCGAAGACGUGAUGCGGACCGAAUUAAGAGUAGGGAAGUGUGUGAGCCAUGCGUCAAGAAAAGCCGCUAUUGUUUUACUUAAGCCCGUACCGUAAACCGACACAGGUGGAUGAGGAGAGAAUCCUAAGGCCGGCGGGAGAAGCAUUGUUAAGGAACUCGGCAAAAUGACUCCGUAACUUCGGGAGAAGGAGUGCCAGCGAGAGCUGGCCGCAGAGAAUUGGCCCAAGCAACUGUUUAGCAAAAACACAGGUCUAUGCAAAACCGUAAGGCGAAGUAUAUGGGCUGACGCCUGCCCGGUGCUGGAAGGUUAAGAGGAGAGGUUAGCGGCAACGCGAAGCUUUGAAUUUAAGCCCCAGUAAACGGCGGCCGUAACUAUAACGGUCCUAAGGUAGCGAAAUUCCUUGUCGGGUAAGUUCCGACCCGCACGAAAGGCGUAAUGAUUUGGGCACUGUCUCAACAAUGCACCCGGUGAAAUUGAAAUACCAGUGAAGAUGCUGUUACCUGCGCCAGGACGGAAAGACCCCAUGGAGCUUUACUCCAGCUUGAUACUGGGAUUCGGUAUUGCAUGUACAGGAUAGGUGGGAGGCUAGGAAGUGAUAACGCCAGUUGUCACGGAGCCGCUGUUGGGAUACCACCCUUGCAGUAUUGGAUUUCUAACCAGCGACCAUGAACUGGUCGGGGGACAAUGUCAGGUGGGGAGUUUGACUGGGGCGGUCGCCUCCGAAAGGGUAUCGGAGGCGCUCAAAGGUUCCCUCAGAAUGGACGGAAACCAUUCGAAGAGUGCAAAGGCAGAAGGGAGCUUGACUGCGACACCGACGGGUGGAGCAGGUACGAAAGUAGGACUUAGUGAUCCGGUGGUAUAAAGUGGGAUUGCCAUCGCUCAACGGAUAAAAGCUACCCUGGGAUAACAGGCUUAUCACUCCCAAGAGUUCACAUCGACGGAGUGGUUUGGCACCUCGAUGUCGGCUCAUCGCAUCCUGGGGCUGAAGUAGGUCCCAAGGGUUGGGCUGUUCGCCCAUUAAAGCGGUACGCGAGCUGGGUUCAGAACGUCGUGAGACAGUUCGGUCCCUAUCCGGCGUGGGCGUAGGAUAUUUGAGAGGAGCUGUCCUUAGUACGAGAGGACCGGGAUGGACUGGCCGCUGGUGUAUCUGUUGCAUACCAAAUGCAUGGCAGAGUAGCCAAGCCGGGACGGGAUAAACGCUGAAGGCAUCUAAGCGUGAAGCCCCCCUCAAGAUGAGAUAUCCCUACGUAAGUAGUAAGACCCCUUGAAGACGACGAGGUAGAUAGGUCAGAGGUGGAAGUACAGUAAUGUAUGGAGCUGACUGAUACUAAUCGGUCGAGGGCAUGA